UUUUUGACAGAGGUUAUAUAAGAUUGGUGUUGUUCCUUCCUAAAAUGUUUGAUAGAAUUUCCCAGGAAAACUAUCUGGGACUGGAGUUUUCCUCGUGAGAAGAUAGUGAUUUAAUUUUUAAGUGAAUAUUAAGUUCUCUUUCUUAUUGAAUGAGCUUUGUCCGUUUGUGUCUUCAUAGGAAAUCGUUUUAUCUGUGGUGGUAAAUUUGUUGGCAUAAAGUUCUUUGUAAGAUCCUUUUUAUCUCUUUAAUGUGUGGUUCCUCUUUCGCUCCUGGUGUGUUAUGCUCUGAAUGUCUGCAGGACCUGAGGUGCUGACCGCUCUCUCACUACGGAGCCUCAUGCUCAGAAGAGGUGGAGAUAGACCCUGUCCCCAGGGUGCCUGUGGUCCUGGAAAUUUGUUCCUCUAUACCUGUGAGAAGUUCAGGAGAAACUUGUCUGUUAUGGUGAGCUAAAGUGAUCGGAGGCAGCACAAUGCACAGGAUAUAGUAGUAAGUGCUUGAUAAAUGCUCAUUGAUGCUUGGAAGAUGCUUAUUGAUGACUGGGAAAAACCUUGUAAAAUUAAAGUUCACUAUUUCCAAA